CAGUCGCCACGGUAAUACGUAGGUGGCAAGCGUUGUCCGGAAUUAUUGGGCGUAAAGCGCGCGCAGGCGGAUAGGUCAGUCUGUCUUAAAAGUUCGGGGCUUAACCCCGUGAUGGGAUGGAAACUGCCAAUCUAGAGUAUCGGAGAGGAAAGUGGAAUUCCUAGUGUAGCGGUGAAAUGCGUAGAUAUUAGGAAGAACACCAGUGGCGUAGGCGACUUUCUGGACGAAAACUGACGCUGAGGCGCGAAAGCCAGGGGAGCGAACGGGAUUAGAUACCCGCGUAGUCCCUGUCUCUUAUACA
rnacentral:rRNA from 1 species